GGUAGAGUUUGAUCCUGGCUCAGAUUGAACGCUGGCGGCAUGCCUUACACAUGCAAGUCGAACGGCAGCGCGGGGCAACCUGGCGGCGAGUGGCGAACGGGUGAGUAAUAUAUCGGAACGUACCCUGGAGUGGGGGAUAACGCAGCGAAAGUUGCGCUAAUACCGCAUACGAUCUAAGGAUGAAAGUGGGGGACUCGCAAGAGCCUCAUGCUCCUGGAGCGGCCGAUAUCUGAUUAGCUAGUUGGUAGGGUAAAGGCCUACCAAGGCAUCGAUCAGUAGCUGGUCUGAGAGGACGACCAGCCACACUGGAACUGAGACACGGUCCAGACUCCUACGGGAGGCAGCAGUGGGGAAUUUUGGACAAUGGGCGCAAGCCUGAUCCAGCAAUGCCGCGUGAGUGAAGAAGGCCUUCGGGUUGUAAAGCUCUUUUGUCAGGGAAGAAACGGUGGUUCCUAAUACGGGCUGCUAAUGACGGUACCUGAAGAAUAAGCACCGGCUAACUACGUGCCAGCAGCCGCGGUAAUACGUAGGGUGCAAGCGUUAAUCGGAAUUACUGGGCGUAAAGCGUGCGCAGGCGGUUUUGUAAGUUUGUCGUGAAAUCCCCGGGCUCAACCUGGGAAUGGCGAUGAAGACUGCAAGGCUAGAAUCUGGCAGAGGGGGGUAGAAUUCCACGUGUAGCAGUGAAAUGCGUAGAGAUGUGGAGGAACACCGAUGGCGAAGGCAGCCCCCUGGGUCAAGAUUGACGCUCAUGCACGAAAGCGUGGGGAGCAAACAGGAUUAGAUACCCUGGUAGUCCACGCCCUAAACGAUGUCUACUAGUUGUCGGGUUUUAAUUAACUUGGUAACGCAGCUAACGCGUGAAGUAGACCGCCUGGGGAGUACGGUCGCAAGAUUAAAACUCAAAGGAAUUGACGGGGACCCGCACAAGCGGUGGAUGAUGUGGAUUAAUUCGAUGCAACGCGAAAAACCUUACCUACCCUUGACAUGGUCGGAAGUCCGGAGAGAUCUGGAUGUGCCCGCAAGGGAACCGAUACACAGGUGCUGCAUGGCUGUCGUCAGCUCGUGUCGUGAGAUGUUGGGUUAAGUCCCGCAACGAGCGCAACCCUUGUCAUUAGUUGCUACGAAAGAGCACUCUAAUGAGACUGCCGGUGACAAACCGGAGGAAGGUGGGGAUGACGUCAAGUCCUCAUGGCCCUUAUGGGUAGGGCUUCACACGUCAUACAAUGGUACAUACAGAGGGCCGCCAACCCGCGAGGGGGUGCUAAUCCCAGAAAGUGUAUCGUAGUCCGGAUUGCAGUCUGCAACUCGACUGCAUGAAGUUGGAAUCGCUAGUAAUCGCGGAUCAGCAUGUCGCGGUGAAUACGUUCCCGGGUCUUGUACACACCGCCCGUCACACCAUGGGAGCGGGUUUUACCAGAAGUAGGUAGCUUAACCGUAAGGAGGGCGCUUACCACGGUAGGAUUCGUGACUGGGGUGAAGUCGUAACAAGGUAACC
rnacentral:rRNA from 1 species